rnacentral:rRNA from 1 species
AAUGAACGCUGGCGGUAGGCCUAACACAUGCAAGUCGAACGGCAGCACAGUAAGAGCUUGCUCUUACGGGUGGCGAGUGGCGGACGGGUGAGGAAUACAUCGGAAUCUACUUUUUCGUGGGGGAUAACGUAGGGAAACUGACGCUAAUACCGCAUACGACCUACGGGUGAAAGCAGGGGAUCUUCGGACCUUGCGCGAUUGAAUGAGCCGAUGUCGGAUUAGCUAGUUGGCGGGGUAAAGGACUACCAAGGCGACGAUCCGUAGCUGGUCUGAGAGGAUGAUCAGCCACACUGGAACUGAGACACGGUCCAGACUCCUACGGGAGGCAGCAGUGGGGAAUAUUGGACAAUGGGCGCAAGCCUGACCCAGCAAUACCGCGUGGGUGAAGAAGGCCUUCGGAUUGUAAAGCCCUUUUAUUGGGAAAGAAAAGCAGCAGGUUAAUACCCCGCUGUUCUGACGGUACCCAAAGAAUAAGCACCGGCUAACUUCGUG